rnacentral:rRNA from 1 species
CAUCCGGUGCUUGCACUGGUGAAGCCGAGUGGCGAACGGGUGAGUAACACGUGAGAAACCUGCCCUGGAGUGGGGAAUAACUCGAAGAAAUUCGAGCUAAUACCGCAUACCUUCUCUUCACCGCAUGGUGAGUUGAAGAAAGAUUUAUCGCUCUAGGAGGGUCUCGCGGCCUAUCAGCUAGUUGGUGAGGUAAUGGCUCACCAAGGCAUCGACGGGUAGCUGGUCUGAGAGGACGAUCAGCCUCACUGGGACUGAGACACGGCCCAGACUCCUACGGGAGGCAGCAGUAGGGAAUCUUGCGCAUGGGCGAAAGCCUGACGCAGCAAUGCCGCGUGCGGGACGAAGGCCCUAGGGUCGUAAACCGCUUUCAGUAGGGACGAAAAUGACGGUACCUGCAGAAGAAGCUCCGGCCAACUACGUGCCAGCAGCCGCGGUGAUACGUAGGGAGCAAGCGUUGUCCGGAAUUACUGGGCGUAAAGGGCUCGUAGGUGGUUGAGUAAGUCAGAUGUGAAAUCUCAGGGCCCAACCCUGAGCCUGCAUUUGAUACUGCUCUGACUAGAGUCCGGUAGGGGAGUGCGGAACUCCUGGUGUAGCGGUGAAAUGCGCAGAUAUCAGGAAGAACACCGACAGCGAAGGCAGCACUCUGGGCCGGUACUGACACUGAGGAGCGAAAGCAUGGGUAGCAAACAGGAUUAGAUACCCUGGUAGUCCAUGCCGUAAACGUUGGGCACUAGGUGUGGGGAGAACUCAACUCUCUCCGCGCCGUAGCUAACGCAUUAAGUGCCCCGCCUGGGGAGUACGGCCGCAAGGCUAAACUCAAAGGAAUUGACGGGGGCCCGCACAAGCGGCGGAGCAUGUUGCUUAAUUCGA